AUGUAAGAGUAAAAUAAAACGAACAAAAUAACAAGAGUAUUUUAUAUUACAUCUUAACCUGCUAUUUAGUCUUCAAGAACUGAACAAUAAGUGAUUGAAAUAAUAAUAACUUUACAAAGGGCUUUUGCAGGCUUAAACAGAGUUCAGACGAUCAAUAAAUAUCGCGAAAGCCGUGGUCAUGUCAAAUUAUAUACUAGGCAUAGUGUGCACAAAACAAGUAGUUCAAUAUGAACACGAGGUGUAGGACGGCGCACUGUAUAACAAAAUAUCAGCCGGGCAAAUACACAAUAUUUAAUCUUUAGGCUAUAACCUACGCAAACUGCCAUAUUGCAACUUAAGAUUAGAGUAUUUGCUUUGUGCGCACUUAAAUGAUGGGACUAAAGCGCAACACCCAAUUACAGAGUGAAGUGGAGCGGAGGCGCAGCUUCUAUUUUAUAACUAAACUCAACUUUAUUUAUUUUGACAUUGGUGUAGUGAAAACAAAAAACGGACACUGAAAGAACGUACCGCGCCGCUUUGAGUUAUAUCCCCAAUGAAAAAGUACGAAAGACGCUGCACUUUAGCUCCACCCUACUCUCUAGAUGUGCAUUGCACAGCCUAAAGGUGCUGAAAAGCCUGAGCAUUCACUUGUAACUGAACAAGAGCUUUUGCUGAUUUUUCGUCAUUCCUGUUGUUUUUAUAUGAGCUAUCAUAAUCAUAAUUUAUUCAUUGCAAAUACACAAUAUACAUUAUGUACACUAUUUUACCUGUCAUGUAACAACAUUAGCUAAAACGCUCAUUACAAGGAAAUGCUCAAGUUGAUUUGAGUGAGAGCAACGUUACGACGCUAUUAACGCUGUGCGUAUUGCCAAUAUUGAUACCAGUUUUAUCAGGAUACUAUAUAGCGAUAUUUAUUGACUGUCUGAAUCUUGAUAUGACCAGAAACCCAAACUUACAUUAAAAACUAACAAAAAAGUUAUUAUUUUCUUCUCAGUUAAACAAAAUUAAUGUCACCAAAAACAAAAUGUCCACUGGGGCAUGUUUCGUCAUUCACCUACAUAUUAUAUCAAACAUUUCUGAACUACAGGAAUGUCAACUUGUAUAAUUAAAUGUCCAAGAAGACUAAACUUACUUCAAUAACCUAAUAUUGAAUAUUCUUACAGCUAACCCGAUAAGUUAUAUCAAAAAGACUAAAGGAAAAAAGUAAAAGGUUGCAACUGAUAACUUAUGUAGUGCAAAAUGUUGUAGUCCUGUAAUGCUAGAUGUGUUGAAAAAAAAAAAUUCACCAAGGUACAGUUUGAUACAGUUUGGCUAAAUUGAGCGCCCACACAGCACCUUGAGUGUAUCUAAGUACUAAGUACCUUACUUAGUUCUUAGAUACACUAAGUUAGUUAGUAGAUAGUUACUUACUAAGUAGAACUAAGUAAGGUACACAUACUUGAUAUUGUAAUCGGUUAAAAAAAACAGGUGAAGACCAGACCCAAAUAUCAGUUUUAAAUACUCAUAACUGUACUUAAAACAUCAGUUACCAAAAAAGUAACUACCUUAGUUAUUCCAUAAGAAUAUUCAUCCUUAACCAUAUAAACGACAAUUUAUUGCUAGAACAAAAUUAAAAGGCAAUUUGCUUUAAAACCCAACGAACAGGUUCUUUGGCCAUAAAAAAGAUCUCAAAAUAUAUUGUUUACAAAAUAAGUAAUCUAUAUUUCAUUUUAAAAUGGUAAAUACAAUUGCCUUGUAACUUAUUCUAUGGGCCAGACGUAAGGACUCGUGCACAUUUAGGGUGGUCGAACCACAUUAAAUU